CGAAUUCAUAUCUGCGACCGUCACCAUGACGUUCACGUGGCAAAGUGUCCUUCCAACCCGUCAGUAUCUGU
rnacentral:lncRNA from 1 species